AGGUUGAACGCUGGCGUCAUGCUUAACACAUGCAAGUCGAACGAAAAUUUAUAAAAUUUUAAGUUUCGGCUUUUAAUUUUCUUUAUUUUAGUGGCGGACGGGUGAGUAACGCGUAAGAACCUACCUUAUGGUGAGGGAUACCAACUGGAAACGGUUGCUAAUACCUCAUAUGCUGAGAAGUAAAAGGUGUACUACAUCGCCAUAAGAGGGGCUUGCGUCUGAUUAGUUAGUUGGUGGGGUAAAUGCUUACCAAGACUAUGAUCAGUAGUUGGUCUGAGAGGACGAUCAGCCACACUGGGACUGAGACACGGCCCAGACUCCGUACGGGAGGCAGCAGUGAGGAAUUUUCCGCAAUGGGCGAAAGCCUGACGGAGCAAUGUCGCGUGGAGGAGAAGGCCGUGGGUCGUAAACUCCUUUGUCAAGAAGAAAUAUGACGGUAUUGACGAAUAAGCAUCGGCUAACUCCGUGCCAGCAGCCG
rnacentral:rRNA from 1 species